UGAGACUCUGUGCGCGUGCAUAUCAAUAAGCGGAGGAAAAGAAACUAACAAGGAUUCCCUUAGUAACGGCGAGUGAAGCGGGAUGAGCUCAAAUUUGAAAUCUUCAAGGUUCUACCUUGACGAAUUGUAGUUUAUAGAAGUGUUUUCUGUUAGUGGAGUGGCAAAAGUUCUUUGGAAUAGGACAUCAUAGAGGGUGAGAAUCCCGUAUUUGGUCAUUCCUCCUAGCGUUGUGAUACACUUUCAACGAGUCGGAUUGUUUGGGAAUGCAGUCCAAAAUGGGUGGUAAAUUUCAUCUAAAGCUAAAUAUUGGCGAGAGACCGAUAGCGAACAAGUACCGUGAGGGAAAGAUGAAAAGAACUUUGAAAAGAGAGUUAAACAGUGCGUGAAAUUGUCAAAAGGGAAGCGUUUGACACCAGUGUUGUUUUUCCGAAAAUCAAUUACGAAUGUUUUGUUUUUGAGGAGUUAUGACUUCAUCGGCUUGCUUCUCUCUUUAUGAAACUUUCUUAACGCACUUUUCGGUUAACAAGUCAACAUCAAUCUCUUUUGUUGUAAAAGGGUAUGAGGAAGGUGGCUUUCUUUUCGGAGAAAGUGUUUAUAGCCUUGUGCCUCUGCAAUCGGAGAGAUUGAGGUCUGCAGCGUAGAUCCUUCGGGGUUAGAUACGUUUGUGCUAAGUUAUAGCUUUUCAUAGACAACUUGUUGACUAUGCUCUAGUCAUGUAGCUUACUCGCUUAUGCUAUUUUACCUACGCUUAGGAUGUUGACAGCAGUAUAGACUGU
rnacentral:rRNA from 1 species